rnacentral:rRNA from 1 species
GGGAUUGCCUCAGUAACGGCGAGUGAAGCGGCAACAGCUCAAAUUUGAAAUCUGGCCUCUUCGGGGUCCGAGUUGUAAUUUGUAGAGAGUGCUUCGGGUGAGACCGCGGUCUAAGUCCAUUGGAACAUGGCGUCCCAGAGGGUGAGAAUCCCGUAUGCGACCGUGGCUCGAGCCCAUGUGAAGCCUCUUCGACGAGUCGAGUUGUUUGGGAAUGCAGCUCUAAAUGGGUGGUAAAUUUCAUCUAAAGCUAAAUACUGGCUGGAGACCGAUAGCGCACAAGUAGAGUGAUCGAAAGAUGAAAAGCACUUUGGAAAGAGAGUUAAACAGUACGUGAAAUUGUUGAAAGGGAAGCGCUUGCAACCAGACCUGCCCGUAGGCGAUCAACCGCUGUUCUCAGUGGUGCACUCGUUCUGCGAUCAGGCCAGCAUCGGUUCGGGCGGCCGGAUAAAGGCCUUGGGAAUGUAGCUCCCUUUCGGGGGAGUCUUAUAGCCCUCGGUGCAAUGCGGCCAGCCGGGACCGAGGACCGCGCUUCGGCUAGGAUGCUGGCGUAAUGGUUGUAAGCGACCCGUCUUGAAACACGGACCAAGGAGUCUAACAUCUAUGCGAGUGUUUGGGUGUCAAACCCAUGCGCGGAAUGAAAGUGAACGGAGGUGAGAACCCUGUCGGGCGCAUCAUCGACCGAUCCAGAUGUCUUCGGAUGGAUUUGAGUAUGAGCAUAGCUGUUGGGACCCGAAAG